rnacentral:lncRNA from 1 species
UUCAAAUCAAAUUUAAUAGUUAAGCAAUUAAUACAAUACUUAAAACCAUCUCAAACCCGCUGUCAGAAGUGCAUGGGCAUCUACUGAUGAGAGUAAUAAAGAUACAACAUCCGCCCGGAAUACAAUGGAUGGAAAGUAAAUACAGUACAAAGGAAGGGGCUACUCUAGCUGUGGCCGUCUCGAAUGAUGCAACUCACCUAGUCCCAGAAUCAUCCGCGCUGCAAUGCCAGCAGACCACUGGAGCCAUAUAUACCUGUGCAAAAAAAUGCACAACAAGUGUAGUAUGUGUACAAAAUUGACAUGUAUCCAAUGAGUGUCUCGCCUAAUCCGAAGGGGUAGAGACGAGAUGGUCAAUUUUGACACUCACUAGUAUUCCAAUAAUUAUUUAUCCUUAAUAAAUAUAUUAAGUAGUCAUUUUAUUUUAUAAACAUGAUUCUAAUCCAGAUAGAGGAAACAAGUAAACAUAUAAUUCCUUCCAUGGAAGAUCUCCUUAGAUUUAUUGUUAUUAUUAACAAUAUGAUCUCGAGCCAUAGUUAGGCAUAAAAUAACUCAAAUGAGUCCAGGCAGCAAUAGAAGCAUGAGCAAAACAUACCGAGGUCGACAGUCCGCUCCAAAAGAAAUAAAUGUGCACUUGCCGAGGGUCGACAGUGCGCCUAUAGAUGCAUCUAUUAAUCUUUUAAUAAUUUGAGGAAAAGAUAGUGUUAGUCUUUUUAGAAAUCUGUUUAUUAAUUUAAUACGAUUAAAGCAUUUCAAGCCAUCAAUGCUUUCACAAAUAAUCCAAGUAUAACAUGUUUUUGGGUCCUAGACUACCCGGAAAAUAGCAUGACAUUAGCUACGGACGGACUCUCGUCACCUCGUGCGAACGUAGCCCCCAAUAAAUAGGAGCACAUAAUCAAUUUAGCUCACCUAUGGGUAUAUUCCCCCUCAAAGGAUUAGAAAGGAGACUCACCUGGCUCCGAAGACUCAUAACCAGCACUCCACAUUCUUUUGAAAGCUCGAACCAACGCGAAAUGCUCCAAAACUAGCCAAUGGUCAUUCAAACCCAUUAUAUAUGCUUAAAUAAACUCUACAACUCAAUUUGUAUCAAUUCUUAACCCCGAAUGGAAAGUUGACAAAAAUGCCCUCGGGUUCACGUGCCCGGAAUCCGAGAUUUGUUUUGAAGAUAAACUUUGCCCAUGUCCUCAGGAACUCAAAUAUAUAAUUUUCUCUUAAUUCCAUACACCAAAUCGUGGCUAAAGUCCAAAACUUAAAUUUAUACUACCAAAAAUCCCAAUUUUUCCCAUAAUUUUCAUGUCUAAUUCCAUGGUAUAAUCUUGUAAUUAACUUGGAAAUAAGUAGGACUAGCUUACCUUGAAAUUGAUGAUGAAAUCCCUCCUCGAAGCUCUCAAAAAAUCGCCCAAUGAAGUAAAGAAAAUGAGAGAAAUGAACCAAAGUCGCGACUUAAAUCAAGCUUCUGCCGUUAGACAUUUCCGCUUCUGCGGGAUUAUUAUCGCUUCUGCGCACGUCGCUUCUACGACUUUUGGUCGCUUUUGCGGCUUUGGGCAAGAGGGAGCUGACUGCUUCUGCGGUCUGGGGGCCACUUAAACGGAAUCGUUUUUGUGGUCUCUGGGCCACUUCUGCGAUUUUCCUGGCCAGGCCCCUUCCGCUUCUACGAGCUUUUGACCACAUCUGCGGUACCCCUUAUACGAUCCAAGAAUCGUAGAUACGGUUAUGACAGAAGCAACAAAUUUCACGCAUUCCCAAAAAUCCAUUUUUGAUCCGUUAACCAUCUGGAAUCCACCAGAGGCCCCCCGGGGCCCUAACCAAUCAUACCAACCAGCCCCAAAACACAUUAUAGACUUGCUCGAGGCCUCAAAUCACAUCAAACAACGCUAAAAUCAAGAAUUAUACCUCAAUUCAAGCUAUAUGAAGUUUGAACUAUCCGACUUCUACUUCCGAUAUUUAAACCUAUCAAAUCACGUCCGAUUGACCUCAAAUUUUGCACACAAGUCAUAUUUGACAUUACGGACCUACUCUAACUUCCGGAAUCGCAUUCCAGCCUCGAAAUAAAAAAGACCACUCCCGGUCAAACUUUUAAUAAACCCUUCAAAUGUUUAUCUUUAGCUAGAUGGCUUCAAAACGACCCACGGACCUCCGAAUUCACUUCCGAUCGUGCUCCCAACUCCAUAAUCACCCUAUGGAGCUGCCCCCAAUCUCGGAAUCCCAGUCGGACAUCGACAACACUGAAGUGCACUUCAAGCCAACUUAAGAAUAGGCGCCAGAACGCUCUCGGGUUAUCUAAAACCCGAACCGACACGCCCAAGUCCGAAAUCAUCAUACGAACCUGCUGCAACCUUCCGAUCCCAAUUUCAAUGUCGCUUACUGAAAAUCCAAUCCUGGUUCAUUCUUCAACUUAAUGCUUCCGAAAUGGGAAUUUUCAUUUAUAUUUAACUCCGAUCUUCCUGAAUUUCAAUUCCGACCAUGCAUACAAGUCGUAACACCUGAAAGAAAGAUGCUCAUGGCCUCAGACUACUGAACGACGCGCUGGGGUUCAAAAUAACUGGUUGGGUCGUUAUAAGUCUUGUUAGUGAAAAAUCUCAAAGGGCCCUAUAAGAAGAUGGCGGGAAGAGAAAUGAGAAAGAUCAGCUAGUGAAAACCCGCAAAGGGCAUUGUUGAUCGAAAAAAGGAUCCACGCAGCCAUGGAGUUAACACAAUCAUUAGCAAGGUCUCCUAGUUUGAGGUCAAAAAUUGUGAUGAGUUUCUGAGAAUUGGACGUUUAUACAGAUCAAGCAUCCAUUCCAAAAGGCAUGUCAUGUUCACUAAAGUCUGCAUGUACUCCCAGAUAAGUCCAUAUUUCUAUUCCCCGAAAGGGACAUGUCACGACCCAAACCCCGGUCGUGAUGGCGAUCAACACCUUGUUAGGUAAGGCCGACCAUUCGAACAUUUACAACCCACAAAAUUUAACUUAAUAUACCAAGUUUAACAUAAAAUUCGUAGUUUGAUAUUACAAGGAAUAGUGCGGAAACCAUAACCAAAAGUAAUAACAGCCCAAAAGAUCCGGCGUCGCAAGUCAGAGCCUCUAGAUACAAUUGAUCAAACAAACAAACAUGUUCCAAUCAUAAAAACACAUCCAACGACACAAGAAUCAUCAAUUUAUGAAAGAUUCAAGCCUAAGUUAAAAUAAAACUUCCGAAACUUGCAUUUGAUCAAAAACCCAACCAAACGAUGUCCAAAUGACCUGAAAUUUUGCACACAUAUCCAAAAUCACCUAACGAUGCUACUGCAGCUCUCAGAAUUUCAUUCAGACCCUCAGAUCAAAAUUCCGCCUAUCAACCGGAAUUCACUAAAAUUCAAACUUAGCCAACUCAAGCCUAAUUCUACACCGGGCCUCAAAAAUUACUUCCGAUUGCUCUCAAAAGCCAAAAAUGAUCCCCCAAAGCUAACCGAAUCAUCAGAAAUUCAUUCCGAGCCCUCUAACUCAUAAGUCAACAUUUCGUUGACUUUUUCAAACUUACCUUCUCAUAAAGAGAUUGUCUCAUUUCUAACCGGACUCAAUCCGAAUUACUUCAAUAUCUCCAAACACAUAUAAUGAAGCAUAAAACGGGGAAAACAGGGCGGUAACUCACGUGACGACGGGCCGGGUCGUCACAGGACACUUCUUGUUUUAAACUCAUUCUCUAUUCCAUUGUUUUUCUUUUCUUUGAAUCCCUUUCGGUGUAACUUUGUUCCAAAAAUAAGUCAAAGAAAAGAUGGUAAGACCAAUUUAUAGGGUUCUCGUUUGAAGCGCUGAUAUAUUCAAAAGGUACUCAGCCUCAACAAGGGCAUCAAGUCAACCCUGACUGGCCAUGAUUGGUCGAUGCUUUAUAAUGAAAAACAUUGAAUGAAGUCAAAAGAAAAAUUAUCACAAUGGCAACAUAAAGUUGAAAAAGGUUAAGUACCGUCAAGGCAAAGUUUGAAAAAAUUAAAGGUUCUCCAGAGUGAAAUGUAGUUGGUAUUUCGGAAAUAAUUAGUUGCAAUUGAAAUCAUUAAAGAAGAUGAGCCGAGAUCAAGAGAUUGAAAUAAUCAAGGCCACAAAUCGACACCAUUUUAAAAAUAACGAAUCUUUCUUUGUUUAGAACCGGAGCAGAACAAUUUUAGGAAACAUUUCGUAGAAAGAUGAGCAUCACCAAGUGAAGUUCUCAAAUCCAUGAUUUCCUUCCAAUAUGCAUGUAAUCAUAUUAUUUUUAGUUUCGUUAUUGGGAAUCAACACUCUAUCUUAAAUACAAGGUACUCAAUCUACUAGUCGCAUUACGUUUUGACUACAUAGGGUAUGACAAUUCCCUAGUAGAAUCUUAGAGAGCCAAGAGCCUCGCCUUAUUGCCAACACAGGGUACUACAUCCCCUAAUUUAUUUUAUUGCCAACAUAGGGUACGAAAUUUCCUAGUAGCAUCUCAAAGUACCACAAGCCUCAUUUUAUGCAGCAUAGGGUACGACAUUCCCUAGUAGCCUCCCAGAGUGCCACAAGCCUCAUCGUAUUGCCAACACAGGGUACAAUAUCCCCUAGUCACAUUAUUUUCUACCUACAUAUGGUACGACAUUCCUUAGUAGAAUCUUAGAGAGCUAGGAGACUCCCCUUAUUUCCAACAGAGGGUACUACAUCCCUUGGUUUAUUUAAUUACCAACAUAGUGUACGUCAAUCCCUGGUAGCAUCUCAAAGCACCACAAACUUCAUUUUAUGCAACAUAGGAUACAACAUUCCCUAGUAGCCUCCCAGAGUGCCACGAACCUCAUCUUAUUGCCAACACAGGGUACAAUAUCCACUAGUCGCAUUAUUUUCUUCCUACAUAGGUUAUGACAUUUCCUAGUAGAUUCUUAGAAAGCCAAGAGCCUCACCUUAUUGCCAACACAUAAUACUACAAUCCCUUGUCACAUUACUUUCUACCUACAUAGGGUACAAUAUCCCCUAGUAGAAUCUUAGAGAGCCAAGAGCCUCACCUUAUCUCUAACACAGUGUCACACCCUUUUUUUUAAAAACAAACUUCACUAAACCCUCUUAAAAAAUAAUAAAAAUAAUUGUAAAGCUUGAAAAGGGUUUUUCAAUUGAAAAGUGACAAAAUUGGUGUUCAAAAGGAAUAACUCAAAGUCGCCACCUAGCAUUAUUUUUUGGUGUGCCAGGUCACCAUUUUUAGAGAAUAUUUUUCCUUUUAAAAACACUUGGACUCAAAACUAAGUCGGCACCAGAGAUAUAGGUAAGGAGGUUCAUUUGACUCGGGGAGAAGGUGUCAGGCACUCCCCAAGUCUCGUAAAAGUCACGGUUGCGUACUCGAUCUAGUUGACUUUUAGAAUAUUCGAUUGAGGUAAAACAAACACAGAAAAAUAAACACGCAAAAGGGCUCGAGGUCGUCCCCACCUAAUAAAAGCAAAAAAAGAGAGUAAAAUACUACAUUAUGCUUCCUUCACAAACGCGUCACGACCUCCAAAAUAUUUUCAAAGUACUUCGGGCCAUACCCGGUGUCACAACCUUUUUUUAAACAAACCACUAUUUAAACCCUCUUAAAAUAAAUAAAAGGAUUUAAAAUAAAGUUUGAAAAGGGUUUUUAAUUUUGAAAGUGACAAAAAUUGUGUGCAAAAGAAAAUAAACUCAGAGUCGCCACCUGACUUGAUUUCGGUGUGCCAGAUCACCAUUUUUUUUCAAAAAAAAUAUUUAUUUGUUCCUUUUAAAACAUUUCAGACUCUAAAAACUAAAUCUGCACCAAAGAUUAGGGUAAAGGGGUUCGUUUGAUUCGGGGAGAAGGUGCUAGGCACUCCCCGAGUCCCGUGAAGGUCACGGUUGCGUACUCGAUCUAGUUGGCUUUUAAAACAUUUAAAUUGAGGUAAAAUUACAAAAAAAAAAAAAAAAGCAAAGUAAACACACACAUGGCUCGAGGUCGUCCCCACCUAAUAAAAUAAAAAUAAAGCAAAUUGAAAUAAGUCUUGAUAGCAUAUACUAGGCCUCCAUUGAUGUUGCCACGGCCUCCAUUUACAUUUACUUCAGGGCAUUCCCCUAUUUAAAUAUAUACAAAUACUUCGGGGAAUUCCCCGGAUAAAUUUAACUACAGGAACGACCUUUCGCCUCAAACGAAAAGCAAACAAAUAGAAGAAUACUAAGAUUGCCUACUCAAAUGUUGUCGGCCUAAAGCAUACUCCUAACGAACAAUAAAAUAAAUUUCUUAGAACAUUAAACAAAAUUAUUUCAUCUUUAUACCUUUACCCCCGCACCUGAUAUUGAUGCUCUAAAAUAAAACGAAUGGGUUUAUUUACUUAGCUAAUACAUAAUGACCACUUAUCUUCCUUAAGUGAUCUGUUCAAACCAAAAACAAAUUCAUGUACUAGCUGAUAAACAAAACACAAAAGGAGCACCAAGACCAUGACUUAACUAAGGGAAUUCAUACUCCUCAACAUUUAACUAAGAACCAAAUGAGCUAUGUAUUGACGAAUACUAAUUAACUAAGGUUCAAAUCAUAUUUACAUCCAAAAGAAACAAGAGAGAUUAGAAAUACCUGAAAGUAGCCUGGAUAUUAAUAAAAAUCGGCAAUUUCAGCAAAUAACUCAAAGCCAAAUCUAAUAAAUCCGCAACAGGGAAUUUUAGCCGGAAUCGCCAGAGAAACAGGAAAUGUUGGCCGGAAUCUUUUUUAUAUGGAAAAAGCUUCUUGAAUACAAAGGUCGAAGAGAAUAGAGGACUCGCCGGAAACUCGACCUAGCCCGCAACCUCGAACUCGACUUAAAGCUUGUGUUUCAAGGAUUUUUUGUCUGGAAUUUGGUAGUAUUUUAGUACUGAGUCGCGAUGGAAUUAGCAGUGUUUCCGCUACUGCUUCAGGGUCUGUUCGCAUCAAGUUUGUUGCGUUUCUAUGACUGUUGGUGGUUGUUUAUGGUUGCAGAGGCAGCAACGAUGUGUGCAUUUAUGGCUGCUUCGCUGAGGAGUUGGUCGAGGGGCUAGUUUUAGAUGGUCAACGUCGAAGAUGAUGGUCGACGAAGAAGACUGGUUCAGGCAUGGGGACAGCAGCUGUUGCUGGUCGACGGGCAGGAGCAAGUGCGUUUGGGGUGGUGUACGACGGCAAUGGAGGCUGGUCAUUGGCGACUGGCUGUUCGCUGGUGGUUUUUCGGUAUGGUGAGGGAUGUUAGUUACUGGGACGAAGGGCUGGAGUUUUUUUGAGCUUUGUUGUUGGUUUUUUUUGGAAGAAGACAAAGGGGAGACUACAUUUUUGUCUAAGUCUCUCAUGUCAUGCGGCUGAUGAGUCCCCUCUUCGCUUUUUUAGGUUUUUCUUUUAAUUUAUGAAGAAGGAAGAAGAAUGGUUCUGAAUGGGUGUUCUAUUGGGCUUCCUUUUUUUGGGCUGAAAAUAAAGAAAUUGGGCCUUAAUAUUGGGUUAAAAUAAUAUUGGGUUAAAAGAAGAUGUCCAAACCUUAAUUAAAUCCCUCUUAAUAUAAGAUAAAUAUAUUACAUGAUGCAAAAACUAAUUUAAUUAAUUAAACUAAAUUAUAUAUAAAAUAUGAAACUAUUUUUGUAUUUUUUAAAGAUUAUACUAAAAUAAAAUAGGUUCAAAAUAACAUAUCCUUCUAAAAAUAUCUAAUACAUGAUUUAAGUAGAGUUAUAUGCAACCUUUUUUUGUAUUUUUUAAUUUUUGUUCUUAAAAUAAUAUAAAAUAGUUAAAAAUUAGCUGAAAUAACUAUAUUAAGUCUAAAUUAAAUAUUUUACGCUAAAAAUAGAUGAAAUUUCGGGGAGGGUAAACAAUCACAUGUCUACACCCCGGAUAAAAAUAUAUACAAAUUCUUCGGGACAUUCCCCAGAUAAAUUUAACUAUUGGGACCGGCCUCUCACCUCAAAUAUAACAAAAUCCUAACUUGUGCCUACCCAGAUGAUAACGGCCUAAGCAUGCUCCUAUUGAUUAAAUCAAUAAACAAGAUAAGAUUGAGUUUCUUUCCAUUUUUCACUAUCCAAUCCCGCCACGACUUGUACGAUGAGAUAAAUGGUAUUCGAAAUGAGCAAAUGGACAAAUUCCUAACUGAAAUCUCUCUUAACUUCCUAACUGUCCAUUUCAUUAAAAUUCAAUUCAAUACAUCAUUAAUCUACUAGACACUUUUGCUUGUUUAAGAAAUCAAACAUCAACAAACAUUUUAACAAAUUAUUGCAAGAUAAAAUAUACCGUAUGCACACAACCAGAUAAUCAAACAUCAAGUGGGAUUCAUUUUCUAUCAAAACGCACGAAGAAGAACACUAAAAUCAAUCAAGAACAGAGUUUAGAAAUUGACCUCAAUGAAUCUGAAAUUUAAAUGAACGGCAACCUUGAAACGCAUAAAUGCGACGAACCGCGGACAGAAACUCGAAUCGACAAAGUCAAUCUCAUCCGGACUCGCACUCGGACAGAAUAUUCAAUCAAACUCGACGUAUAUCUUCUCUCACACUCAAAGACUGAAAAUCACAAUAGAAACAAAUGUAGCAACAGAAAUGUUCGUAUAUGACCAGCUCGCCGACGAGACAGAACCGGACGAGUGAGAGAUGAGGGAAUGAAGAGGAGGCGAUUUUUGAAGUUUCGAUGUGUUGGUUUUCAGAUUGAUCUUAAUGGAUGUAUGGAUGGCAUUGUUGAGUAGAAUAUGGAUGGGGUCUUAGUUUGGUUGAGGAAGAAACUGAGCGAUAGAGGAGGGGUCGUUCAUGGCUGAAAUGUGUUUUUCCGGCAAGCUACUGGUCGUCGUGGAGGAGACGGCUGUUGCUGUUAUCUUAUUUUUCUCUAGUGUUAGUCAAGUACUGUGACUGAAGGGGUGUUCCGGCAUGUUUGGUGGCGUGUCCGGCUGUUUCUGGACAACAAAGAGUGUUGGGACAAGGAGCAGCGGCUUAAGAUAAUUUGUGGUAGUUUUAGUCGUCUGGUUCGUUGCUUGAUAGAGAGAGGCGGGAUGUUGGUGGUUUGGGAGAUGAGGGAGGCCGGCUGGUGGUUGGAAGUCGGUUGGACAGUGGUGCGCUGGUGUGUGGUGAGGUGAGGGACGGCGGCUCAAGGGUUUUGUAGUGUUGUCCUCUAUUGUUGUGUAAGGAUAAG